rnacentral:tRNA from 1 species
GAGGGUAUAGCUCAAGUGGUAGAGCAAAUGCUUAGCAUGCUUGAGGUUCUGGGUUCAAUCCCCAGCACCUUCU